rnacentral:lncRNA from 1 species
GUGGAUCACCUGAGGUCAGGAGUUCAAGACCAACCUGGCCAGCAUGGUGAAUCCCCGUCUCUUCUAAAAAUACAAAAAUUAGCUGGGUGUUGUGACGUACAUCUGUAAUUCCAGUUACUCGGGAGGCUGAGGCAGGAGAAUCGCUUGAACCGGAGAGGCGGACGUUGCAGUGAGCCGAGGUCAAACCAGUGCACUCCAGCCUGGGCAACAGAGCGAGACUCCAUCUGAAAAAGAAACAAAAAGAAAAAAAAAUUUUGGACCCGCUGCAGCUGGGAGGGGAGCUGUCCAGGAGGCCGGCCUGGGAAUGAGCACAGGCCUGCGGCUGGCAGAGAGCCGGGUCGAGCCAGCCCUGGAGAAGCAGGCCCAGCUGGAGGAGCAGCUGCGGGACAAGGUGCUCCACGAGAAGGACCUGUCCCAGCAGCAGAUGCAAAGCGACCUGGACAAGGCUGACCUCAGUGCCAGGAGGGUCCCUGGUGGGUGCUGCAUGAGGCAGGCGUCACUGCAGAAGAGUGACAGAGCUGGGCCUGGCAGUGAAGCGUCUACAGAAGCAGAAUCUGGAGAAGGAUCAGGUCGACAAGGACCUCACCGAGAAGCUUGAGGCCCUGGAAUCCCUGCGGCUACAGGAGCAGGCGGCCCUGGAGACAGAGGAUGGAGAGGGGCUACAGCGGAGCCUAAGGGACCUGGCACAGGCCGUCCUGUCUGACGCUGAGAGCGGCAGCCUGCGUCCAACAGCGUCCGACCGCAGCCUGCGGGGGCUCUCGGGCCAGCGGACCCCGUCUCCACCGCGGCGCUCCUCGCCGGGCCGAGGCCGUUCGCCCCGCAGAGGCCCCUCCCCGGCCUGCUCAGAAGACUCCACGCUCGCUUGCCCUGAUUCUCUCCGCCCUGCACUUUUGCCAGCUGAAGGUCCAGGUAGGAAGGGGCUUGAGUUUUCUGGGCGCAGCCAGAGGCCCA